AUUUAUUUCUGCAUUAAACAGUAUGUACACUGUGCACAGUAUGUGAGGGUUUUUUUUGUAUAUGAGACGACACUAUAAAAAAAUAAGGGGAUCUGUUAACACAACUUACUGUCAAUAACUGCAUGGUUGCAAUUUGCAAAUUAAAAAUUCUAUUCAAUUUGCAAACAUUAUUUUGAUGAGUGCGGUUUACAUGAUAAUGUUGAUGUGUGUGCUUAUAUCAAAAAGUGAACUGAUGAUGUUACAGUCACCAAGACCAUCACCACACGUGCAAACCAAAAGCCGUGGCUGACAGCAGAGGUUCAUGGCCUGCUAAAGACCAGAGAUGAAGCAUUCAGAUCAGGAGACAAAGCAGCCCUCAAAACAGCAAGAGCCAAUCUGUCCUGUGGCAUCAAAAAUGCAAAACGGUCAUAUGCUCAAAAAAUCAACAAUCACUUCACAGACAGCAGAGACACACGGAGCCUGUGGCAAGCCAUUCAGACCAUCACAGACUACAAGCCCCCGCCACAGGCCUGUGAUGACGACACAUCCCUCCCGGAUGCACUCAACCACUUUUAUUCACGGUUUGAAAUGCAGAAUGACACACCUGCACAAAAACUGCCCAUACCUCCCAACGACCAGGUGCUCUGUCUGUCUCCAGCCGACGUAAGGAAGACCCUAUCUAGGAUUAACCCACGCAAGGCUGCUGGACCUGACGACAUACCUGGCCAUGUACUGAAAGACUGUGCUGCACAGCUGACAGAAGUCCUAACAGAUAUCUUCAACACCUCGCUGAGCCAGACAGUCGUCCCCACGUGUCUCAAAUCCACAACCGGUACCAAAAAAAUCACCUGUGUCCUGUCUAAACGACUACCGUCCCAUAGCGCUGCCUCCAAUCGUGAUGAAGUGCUUUGAGAGACUCCAGCUGAAGGUGCGGCUGCUGUUUCUCUGGAUCUGGAAGGAGUUGGUGGAUGUUGGGUGUGUGAAGGUCAGCAGGUCCAGUCCUCAGCAGCGUCUUACGAUGAAGAUCUUCAUGCUGGACUCUGGAGAAACACCUGCGAUCUGCUGGGCCUCCAGGACUCACGCUUUGUUUAACAGAGUUCCUUCACGUUUGUAAACCGGACUAACAUCAGCGGAACUGAAGGUGGACGUCGAUCAGAUGCAGCGCAAAUGAACGAUUGACAAUCUCAUACCGGAGAACUGUGACCGACGGAGGAAAUCGAUGAAGAGUCAUGUAGCUCCUCUGUCCUAUUAUCUCUGGUUCUUCUGAAGGGCUCGGCGCUGUUGAAGGAUCUUCCCUCACUGUGAGUGUUUCUGUCAUGUGACCUUCCAGACGGUACAAAAAAAAGCUUCUUUCCACCAAAAUUUCCUGCAAAGUGCUGCUGUAGUUCAUUCUCUUCACACAAACCUCUGCUGCGUUUGCUCGAGCUCCCGCUCUCUAUUAUUAACCAAUAACAAACACUCAUUUUACCUUCUUGAAAGUCAACAUGACGGACUCAUUUACAUAUAAACAUGCUCUUAUUGUGAAUGAUUCAUCAGUGCACGUUAUUUCAAGUAAAUAAUGUCUGUCUUUGUAAUUGUUCAGCUCCAGCUAACAUAGAACGUUCCCAUAACAUUUUUUAAAGGUUAUGCAAAUGUCAUGACAGACAUUAAUAAAAUAAUGUUUAUGGAACGUCCUGAUAAUGUUUUUAAUAUUUGUUCUCAUAAUGUUGAGAGAAGUCUUCAGAACUUCAUGUUCAAUAACAUUCAUCAGUAACAACAACCGAAGAUUUCAUAGUGUUUUCAAAAUGAUAACAUGGACUGUUCCUCUAACGUUUGCAUAACCAAGAAAUGUUCUUAAUACAUAAACAAACAAACAAACUGGAUGUUUUGAACGUUUAUAAACAUUCAGAAGUAGUUUUCAUAACAGUUUCAAAAUGAUCAAAUGGAAUGUUUCUCUAACAUUUGCAAACCCAAGAAAAAAAGUCCUUUAACUAUAAAAAAAGAGAACAUUUAAAGGGGUCAUAGGAUGUUGCUAAAAAGAACAUUAUUUGGUGUAUUUGGUGUAAUGAAAUGUGUUUAUGCGGUUUAAGGUUAAAAAAAACACAUUAUUUUCCACAUACUGUACAUUAUUGUUUCUCGUCUAUGCCCCGCCUUCUGAAACGCUUCGAUUUUCACAAAGCUCAUCUCUCUGAAAAGCGAGGUGUGCUCUGAUUGGCCAGCUAUCCAGCGCAUUGUGAUUGGCCGAAUGCCUCAAGCGUGAGACGGAAAUUUUAUGCCCCUUAACAUAUUGUAUUAGCCUGUCCGGCCGGAGCGACGAGACAUAAACAUAAAACCCAUUAUAAACGUGAUAUAAACAUGAUUUCUAGUCGUGUUUUAUUUUGGAAGGCCAAACAAAGUAGUUUCGAUUUCUCAAUGAAACAGCAUCACACACGCCUUGAGUGAGAGGCGGGCGGCUUGAGGUGGAUUCUACGAAGGAGCGUACCUUGGUCGAUUUGGCGAUCCAUAGUUCAAAGUUGAUGUAUUUCCUCAGUGACCAGCACGGAUCAGCUCCAGGCAUGACGAAGCGGAUAUCGUCCUCUUUUGGAAGGCCAAACAAAGUAGUUUCUCUUUCACAGUGAAACACACAGCAUCUAUACGACAUGCGGCGGCUGCAACAACAAUACUACAACAAGAAUAAAAGGUACGCCUUCUUCCUUUGUGUGAACAUUUGGGUGGUGUUAUGCAAAUCUUCCCACAUAGUGAUGUAGAGAUGUGGGGGCGUGUUAGAACGAGCCGUUUCAGGAGGGCGUGGAUGAGUGUUAACUUUUAUAAAGAAUAUCUAUUUGGAUUUCAGACUUUAGUCUUUGCAACUUUACAGAUCUUCUUUAUUUACCAAGAGCUUGUAACACUCCAAAGAGAAAGGAAAAAUUUAAAUAGCAUCAUAUGACUCCUUUAAAUGUAACAUUCUCAUAAUGUUUUUGAAAGUGAUAGAAUGUAACAAUCCUCUAACAUUUGCAUAACCGAGAAGAAACAUAAAAAUGGGUUUUAAACCUUUAGAGAACAUUUAAAUGUAACAUUCUCGUAACGUUUGCUAAAUGAUAAAUGGAAUGUUCCUCUAACGUUCACAAAACUAAGAAACAAGUUAUUUAAACAUAAAUAUUAAGAAUUUUUAACAUUGAGAGAACAUUUAAAUGUAAUUUUUUCACAAUGAUUUCAAAAUAAUAAAUGGAAUGUUCCUCUAAUGUUCGCAAAACUACAGUAAGUUCCUUAAAUAUUAUAAAAAUGUUUUUUUAAAUGUUAAGAGGAAGUUCCCAUGUAACGUUCUCAUAACGUUUUCUAAAUGAUAGAAUGGAAAGUUUCUCUAACGUUCACAUAACCAAGACGAAACGUUCUUAAUGCAUAAUGUUUUCACAUUUAAAAAUCACUCAGAAAUAAUGUGAAAAAUUUAAUGGGAAUGUUGGCAAAACGUUGUUGGAACGUCUUUUGUUAGAUAGUCUAAACUGUUUAUCGUUAUGGUUACGAAACAGCGUUUCAUGUAUAUUUUUACUGUGGUAAAAUCACUGUACUGCACAACCUAAUGUGCUUUUUUAAAACAACAUGAUCAAAUAAACCGAAGUUCAAUCAAUAGGUACAUUUAUUAACAUUGAUAACUAGGUGAUCAGAUAUUCCACCAAGUGUAUUGUUCAUAAAUGCGAUGUUUCGGUUCUCAAGCAGCAGAAACUCGAUGCAUUAAAACAAUAUAAUUUGCAUUUACAUUUACAUUGACUUCAACAGGAUUCUGAGCGAUUCUUUUAUAAGCAACUGUAAUACGCUACAUCAUUUUAUGAAAACAUCCAUAUUUUCAUGUUCAGAACUCUUGUAAAGAAGAGCUCAUUUUACCUUCAUAUUUAUAGAAAGAAAGCUGUUAUUCUCUUUGAACUUUAUCAGAGAAUAUACCACUGUAAAAGAGUGACUGAGAUGGAUUUAUUGAUGAUGAUUAACUCUCAAACAAUUCAUGAUGUCUGAACAAACGCUCCAUUUCUUUCUGAAAUGCAGAAGUAUGACAAGCACAUAUCCAAAGGAUUUUUAUUAUAUCACAUUCACGUUUAAUGGUGCAAAAUGCACAAUUAUACUUACUUAUAAUUGAUUGACUGUCCUUUAAACACAAACACACAAAAAUCUAAGAAACUGAAAUGAAUCUUGGAAUGACUGACGCUGAAUAUUCAUUGAUAAAUCUGCCUGAAAUAAUAACAACAUUGCAUCUUCUGUGUUGUAUGCAGGUUUUGUUUUUUGUUUCAGGUCUGCUGUGUGAUAUUGAUUACUGUAGCUGUUAUUAAUAUUCUGUACUCUGAUGUCAGUGUUGUGUGUCGUGUUCACAUGCGUUUAUUUUCUUCAUGUUUCAGAAGAAAACUUGCACUGUAAAAAAGAAGAGAUUUGCUAAAGGCUUUUAUGACUGAUGAUCUUGCAUAUGAGAUUCAGCACAUUUUGUUUUUUAAGAGUUAUGCAUCAUUGCUGAAUUAUAAUAUUCAUGAUUAUGUCAUAAUCUGGUUUCUGUAGUCACUGUGAUUCUGAACAUGUUCAGUGUUUUUCUUACAGAUGUGCUUUGAUUCGUUUGUUGUUUAUGAAGUCAUGAUUACCCAUGAGCCUCUUUCUCUGAGCCAAUUCACAUGCAAUAACUGGUAAAUAUACCAACACUUGUUUUUUUCUCUGUGAUGAAAAAGUGA
ensembl:lncRNA